UGGGGAAUCUUGGACAAUGGGCGCAAGCCUGAUCCAGCGACGCCGCGUGGGUGAUGAAGGCCUUCGGGUUGUAAAGCCCUUUCGCCGGGGACGAUGAUGACGGUACCCGGAGAAGAAGCACCGGCUAACUCCGUGCCAGCAGCCGCGGUAAGACGGAGGGUGCUAGCGUUGUUCGGAAUCACUGGGCGUAAAGGGCGCGUAGGCGGCCUUGGUAGUCGGUUGUGAAAGCCCGGGGCUCAACCUCGGAACGGCAACCGAGACUCCUUGGCUGGAGGCCGGAAGAGGAGGGUGGAAUACCCAGUGUAGAGGUGAAAUUCGUAGAUAUUGGGUGGAACACCGGUGGCGAAAGCGGCUCUCUGGUCCGGACCUGACGCUGAGGCGCGAAAGCGUGGGGAGCAAACAGGAUUAGAUACCCCCGUAGUCC
rnacentral:rRNA from 1 species